rnacentral:lncRNA from 1 species
AUGAGUCUUUUCUUCCUCCUUCCUGGGAGGGGUUGGAACUAAGCCUCAAAGCAGAGUAGCUGACAACGUGGCGUGGGAGAGGCUUGGAUGUGUCGCUGGAGAGAAACAUUCUUGCCACCCCCACCCUAAAGAGGCUGCGGGGACAGGCAGCCCAGCCCUCCUGGCCUAUUUUCGGGCUGGAGAGAGGUUCAGUCUCAGGCACAGUUUUGGGAGGCAGAUCAGCCUCCCUGUUCCGGCCUCCCACUCCCAUGGAGCUCUCUGCUGCCUCUUCCAAGGGGCCGCAGAUACCCGUUCCUUGCUCUAUUUCUUCACCAGCCCUACCUGUUCUCAGUCCAUUACCUCAUGGCCCUGCUCUCUGCUUACUAAAGUGACAAUUCGUCUAUAAGGAAGCCCUUGCACUGUAGCUGAGGAUUCGCGAGGCUGCACCCUCAGCAGGCACUGUGGCCACACAGCACUGGCCUGAGAUCUGAGUUCCUGGAGCCUCGGCCCUGAGGCCCAUGGCCAUAGAACAAGCCAUUUUCAACAAAAGGACUUGCAAAUUCCUGCCUUAGGGCUCCUUCUGCACAGGACAGACCUUUCAUCACCAACCCAACUUGUAAUCUUGGGUAAAGAAGGUUCUCAGCUCAUUUUCAAGAAGAAAAAAAAAAUGGAAGGAGCUAGCAGCCCCAAAGUACUUCCACUGAAGCCUUUGGAAAAGAGGGAAGACUCCAAGUCUCUGGCACCUGCAGAAGAGGGGAAUCUUGAGAAGUAGCUGACGCUCCGAGUUUACAUGUCCCCUUGGUGAGAUUUCUUACAGCAGAACAUGACGUUCUUCCCACCCCCAGGAUGCAAACCACUUUAAAAGAAUGUUAUACUUUGCUCUGCGUGGCCAAAUACCACAAACACCACUUGAUUUUAAAAUUAUGUAGUCUUGGUAUUCCAAAGCCAACGUGCACCACCAUGCAAGAACAGAUGCGGUCUCUGAAGGCAAAAGCCCCAGGCAGUGCUUAAGUCUCAAAAAAGAGUUGUCAUGUCAUCCUCAACUUGAGAUGUUUGCUUGGCAAGCAUUUUUUACUCUCUGGAGGAAAUUUUGUUUACAGGAUUUAACAGUUACACACACAAACACACACACACACACACACACACACACACACAAUUACUCAUUGUUCAGCUGCAGAACAAAGGUCAGCUCUUGGCACGCAGUAGUUUUCCAAUUCCUGAUCCUUUUUGAUUUUCAAUGUGCCCAUCAGCAGACAUGUAAUUUUAUCUUAAGACAGCCAAGUGCAAAGCAUGAGACAAUAGGCAGAAAUCUUGUAAAUAACUAUCAAACAGAAAUAAUCCUUUCAGCUGACGAGGGAAAGCCUCCUUUGUUCCAUUUUAAUGAUGUUUAUAUAAAUUUUAGUAUGCAUAUUCA